AUGAGCGCCAGGGCCGGGCCGGAUCCCAACUCCGAGAAGUCGGUCGCGUGGCCGGACCUCCGGGGAAGCCUCGAGCGGGCCGGCGCCCUCGCCGCGGAGCUCGCGGCCGCGGCGGAGGAACGGGCACGCCUGGCGCGCCGCCUCGAGGCCGCGCUCGAGGUGAGGAGGGAGUCGGUGCGGCAGGGCGCGGCGCUGGACGAGCUGAGCCGGCGGCUGGAGCGGCGGCGGGCGCGCGCGGACGAGCUCGCCGUCGCCAGGCGGAGGGCCGCCGAGGGCGUGGAACGGCGCAAGGAGCAGAUGCAGGCGCAGAUCGAGCGGGUGCUGCCGCUCUCCAGGGCCCUCGCCGCCGCGCACCGCCAAGUGCAGGAAGCCAAAGAGUUGAAAUCCGCGGAGAAGGCGCGGCUUGGGGAUCUGCAGAGGCUGCUCAGGACGAGGCAGCAGUCCAUGGUAGCCCAGGUCGCCGCCCUGUACCCUGUCAGGGUCUUCCGAGACCUGCCGGCUGCAGAGAACCACCAUUCCCGUACCAAUGGAGAGUGCCGAACACCUUCGGAAGAGAAUGGGGCACUUCCGCAAGAAAUGAAUGGAAAUGGAAGACAUUUACUCAGCAUUAUCAAAUCUCCACAUGUUGGCCCCUUGACAUUUUUUGGUUGGCAAAUUGGAAAGCCCAAGACAAAGCAGCCAAGUUACAGUCACAAGGAGCUUCAGAGGUCAGCAGCUGUGCUUGGAUAUGCAGCACAUGCAGUCUUGCUUAUUGCUUCAUAUCUUGACAUUCCCCUCCGAUAUCCUUUGCGCUUUGGAGGAUCACGAUCUUAUGUCGGUGAUCGUUUGCCUUCAGCUGAAGCAUCAUCCAUGGGUUCAACGGAACAUCGAAGGGUCGGCAGCGCUGACUCAAAACUAACAGAUUAUCCCCUUUUCUUGGAAUAUCAAGAUGACUCGACAAAGGCAUCCUACGCCAUUCACUUGUUGCAAAAGGAUACGGAGCAGCUCUUGAACUACAUCGGAGCAGAGAGUUCUGGGAGGAAUGCAUUUGGUAAUCUGCGGGAGCUUAUUAGGAUUGUACAGUCAGAUGAGUAUCUGUACAUAUGA
rnacentral:rRNA from 1 species